AGGUUUUGAAUGCGCGGCUAUGGCGACGAUGAGGAUGGCGCUCGAUGGCGCCGGCGCUGCUAGGGCCAGCGCUGCUCGAUUGUCGCGGCGCCUAGCUCCAGCGGAGGUGAGCGCGUCUGGUCUAGGUUCUUUCCGCGGAGCGAACAUCUCCGGCGGCAGCGCGAGGUCGGGGAUGAGAUUUCCGCGAGCAGGGAAGGUUUUGGAGGAUUUGAGCCUCUGCCAGGUCCUGGCGGAGAAAUCCGCCAGCGGCGGCAGCAGCGGGGAUGACAAGGUCGAAAAGGAGGGAUUUUGGAGCAGGAUAAGCAGGGCUUGGAAGAUCUUGUUCCCUCCAAGGCAAGCCAUGUCCAAUGCGCAGCUCGCCAAGCGGAGGCUCAAGAUGAUCCUCAUCUCCGACCGCUGCUCCGUCACCGACGAGGCCAAGCGCAAGAUCCUUGACAACAUUGUGGGCGCUCUGGCCGACUUUGUGGAGAUCGAGUCCGAGGACAAGGUCGAGCUCAACGUUUCCAGCAAUUCCGAGCUUGGAACGCUCUACUAUGUCACCGUACCCGUGCGAAGAGUGAGGCCAGAGUUUCAGGACUACAGCAAGGACAUGGAAAGCUCAUGGUGCUUGGAAUCCUGUGGCUCUCCGGAGUAACGCAACGCUUCAAGGAAAUGACCACUGGCCAGGUCCAUCCCGCAUCGCGUGAUUCACAGAACAGUUCAUUCUUCGUCGAUUCGCUCGACAUUGCUAUUCGGUAAUCUUUUCCUUUUUUCUUUUAGAAAAAUAGAAAAAGUUCUUCCAUAUGGCGAGCAAGUUGCUCGUCCAAGCUUUGCUAAUCAUUCUAAGUUCCUCGAUUGCCACCGCCAGCAGCAGCAGCAGCAGCAGCAGCAGCUCCACCAAAACAGAUUCGAAGAGAAGAUCAAGCAACCAGCUGCAGCGAUCGCAGCUCCAAAACAGAUCAGACAACUCGGAAGAAUUCUCCAGCGCUCUUGGCUACCUCAAACAGGUCGGACGAACGAUGGGCUGCUCGAGUAAGCCGAUGAUCUGCCUGGACAAGCGAUUCAAGCCGGCGGGGCCGAUUUGCUGCGGCUGGAUUUGCGUGGACGUUACCAGGGACGUGAAUCACUGCGGCCAUUGCUUCCACCGCUGCAAGUACUCGCGCUCCUGCUGCCAAGGGAGGUGUAAGAACUUGGACCGGGACGUCCACAACUGUGGCUUUUGCGGGAGGCGCUGCCCAAAGCGCACCAAAUGUGUCUUUGGUAUGUGUGGCUAUGGAGGCUAGUACUCUGUUCCAUUUUGACCUAACCCUAGAGUAUCGCUUUGACCUAAAAGACAAGUUUGCCCUAAAAAGUUUUUUCUAGGAUUCUUGGCGAUGGAGGAGCGAUCGGCCAAAUCGGCGGACGAUGGCGGGCCAACAAUAUUUGACAAGAUUUUGAGCAAGGAGAUCAAUGCCACAAUCGUGUACGAAGAUGACAAGGUAAAAUACUUAAUUCUUUGUGAGGUUACGCCUUUCCAUGCUUCACAGGCACUGGCGUUUCGAGACAUCGAGCCGCAAGCACCGGUUCAUGUCAUCCUGAUACCCAAGCAGCGUGAUGGACUCACUCGUCUUGCGAAUGCCGAGAAGCGGCACCGAGACAUUCUUGGGCACCUUCUCUACGUUGCCAAGAAGAUCGGCGAGCAAGAGAAGCUCCAGGAAGGAUAUCGCGUUGUGAUCAACGAUGGCCCCAAAGGAUGCCAAUCGACGUACCAUCUACACUUGCACAUCAUGGGAGGCAGGCAGAUGAAAUGGCCUCCGGGAUAGAGCGUUUAGCCUGUGAGUUGGAACUCUAGAAAAAUAAAUGUCGAGAAGAAUUCAAAGCUAACGAGCGAGAGAAAGCGAGUACCUUGAAUCUCAUGCCGCCACUGACUGGAGAAAAUCGUCCAGAGACUAUUCCACCGUUUUUAAACAUGACCAAAGUUGGGAGGCCGUAAAGCUUGUAUUUUUCUACCAGGCCGGGGCUCUUGUCGGUGUCAACUUUGUAGACUUCGAGCUUUCCAGCAUACUCCUGAGAAGAAAAACCACAAAGUUUUCCAGUUACUUCCACUGUAAUCGAGAGGAAAAAACGCAAUUUUCUUUAAAAAAAAA